rnacentral:tRNA from 1 species
AGAAAAGUAAGCUAAAAAUAAGCUAAUGGGUUCAUACCCCAUUUAUAGAGUUAUACUCUCUUCUCUA